CCUGCGAGGAGCUCGAUUUGGGACUCAAUCCCAGAACCCCGGGAUCAUGACCUGAGCCAAAGGUAAGACCUUCUGUGGCUCAGAGACAGUGAUGUACUCAAGGUCACACAGCCAUCAAAGGCAUGGCCAGGGUCUAGCUCUUGGCUCCUUGCCUCUUAAAGGCAUGACACAGAGGCAAACCUGCACAGAAGAUGUUUCCCAGCAUCUUUGAAAGGCUCCCCGAGGAAGUGGGCUCCAGUGGCCCACAUGCCCUGGCUUCUUGUGAUAGUCAGAGGUGGGGAAUUCCUUUCGCUAAAGGCAGCCCUGAUCCCUGUGCCUGUCUAUAAAUUUCUUCCACCGAG